GCCUGGCUGGCUCAGUAGGUAGAGCAUGUGAUUCUUGACCUCAAGGUUGUGAGUUCAAGUCCCAUGUUGGGUG
rnacentral:tRNA from 1 species